CGAAAGGCGUAUCCACUAACUUGGUCACGUUCUCCGAUCUUAUUUCGGUGUACAAGUCAACGUAUUCGUGGACGCAGCUGCAAACGAAAGAUUUUCAUGAUGACUCGUGGCCAAAUGACGCGAUACAGGAUCGACUGACACUUACGCAGGAACGUCUCGCUUCUUCGAACGCUGUGUAACUAACCUGUACUGCUACGCGGACAAAGUAGCAAGAACAAGAUAAAAGCGGGAGAAACGAAAUUGUUCCAAGAAGCAUGCCAGAGUACCGAAGCCAUAGUGCAUCCUAGAGAUACAAUACCGAUCGCGUCGAACACACAGCAUCUAUUUUAUCGACCCAAUUCGAGAUGAUGGAUCGAUAAACGUAAUCUAUGGACAGUACGAAGCAUGGGUGCAAGUGCUAACGCAUCGCAUCGUGUCGCGUCGCGCCGUAUCGGCGAAUCGAUCCUUCCUGUCCUCUAUAAACUAACCAAACGUAUGUCGCAUCGAAUCAAAAGGUAAAUUACGCAAGGACAAAUCAUUGCAAGUAAUACGUAUCGUAUACAAACACGAUUCCAGAUGAUCGAAAUGACGUUGCUUCGAGGAAGUAUCCCUAGCACGUGUCGAGUUUAUUUGUCAUUAUUUGCCACGCCCUCAAAAUCACGUAUCCCCCUUUCAAACGCGCUCUUUUCGAGUUUUGCCCAGGAAUAUCGGACGCGCUCAUUGAUACGAAGAAGUCAUGAAGUUCGCCAGAUAAACGAAAGAACUAGGCUGACAGAAUCGAAACCGCGCCCUUUACUGUCUACUUUAUUCAGAUGAAAUCGACAAACAGGAUUAUUCGAUUCGCCGUAUUUGUAUCGUUCAAACUUUACAAAGUAACGCGCGAUUUUGAAAUCAAUUUUUCUUCGUACAAAUAUACUCCGUACAGUUGCGAGAAAAAUUCCGCGAAUCGGAACAGAAAAAAGUAAACGAUUAUCGACGAAUCGUCGUCCUUCCGUAAAAAGAUAAACGGACUGUUUCAAUCGUACUGGUUCGUUUUCCUCGAUAAACAUACAAGGAUAUGAAACG